rnacentral:sRNA from 1 species
UCUUAGUUUUUGAAAACAAAAUUUUUUUCUUUUCUUUUGGAAAUAGCUUUCGUGGCUUCCUUCAGUCCUAGAACAACUAUGGUUCAUAACAUAGAGAGUAAAGAACUAUCCUGGAAAGACAUUCCUGUUUACAUAAUGCAGGUAAAGGUGGCACAAGCUUUUGAUGGUAGAUGAACCCAGCCACUCACUUUUACUUUUGGCUUACUUUACUUUCAGAGCUAAGGUCAUAUCUUUAUCACUGUCCACAGCUUUCUUCAACAAAAUCUCUCACAACGUGGUCUGUCAUCCCAAAACCUCAACAUGAUGUUCACUGCUAUAUGAUCCUGUUUGACUGCUUCAACAUAUUGGAGACCACUUUUUCUUGUGCCCAUCACAAUUUGCCCAUUGAGAAUGAAUUUAGGGAUAAUUCAUCCUCCAUAUAAUCAAUGCAGGGGCAUUGUUGAAGGAUUGUGAAGAUGCCAGGAAGACCCAUUAGAAUGAGCAUCUCAGUGUUACAGUGAUUUUCAGGAUUCAUCAGAGAAUUUUACUUAAUUCACACUCUUGAUUGGUGCAAGUAGUCCAUGACCAACUGCUGUACAAUAGAGUGCUCAAGACAUUGUAAACCAUUUUAGAUUUUGAGGCGAGUUUUUGGUUUUCCCAAACUAUUAUGAGUCUAGCAAAAGAUGAAGCAGCCUUUCCUGUGCACUUUUUAAUCUACUCUUCCUCUACAGGACAUCUUGCAUUGUGGAACCCAGCUAUCAGAAUUCAUCUACAACAAUUAACUUGUAUUCAUCAAUGAGAAAAGAGGAUGGCAAAGAAUGACACUGCUCAGGGUUUAAACUUGGUAACACAUAUCAUAUGUGUUAAAUCAAGGCUGGGACAACUCUGUACAAUAUACAACAUACCAUAAAGAAACCUAAAAUCUAAUUGCAUAAAUACGGACAAUAAUAAGCAGUAUAAUGUGCACUUGGCUCCAUGAUGCAGACUAUUUUCAAAAUUGAACAGGUUGUUAAAAAAUUUGGAUGUUUGUCUAAAAGAGGGAAAUCUGCAAACAAAUUGUGGAAACUGAAAUACCUGAAGAUCAAUAUUUACAUCUAAGAAAGAACAAAGGACAGUAUGAAUGCAACAGUUAAAUAUUCUGUUACUGCACUUUGUAUUUCAAAAGUUUAAAAAUAAAACUAAUUGGGAAAUUU